UCUGUCUGCUGUGUGGGAUGGGGGCAGGGCGCGCUGCAGGCGCCACCUGCUCCAACCAGGUCCAGAGUCUGGCAAAGGCACCUUUGACCCCAAGCUUCCCGGUUGCUCAAAGUGCCCAGCGCAUUCCGGAGGCGCAGUUCCGCUCCACCCAGGCAGGGGCGCCCGUCCCUAAUUUCCUCGCAAGCUGUCCCGGGCGGUACUAACUAGGUGCAUGUGGGGUGUCCGAAGGCGGCAGCGGGGAAGACGGUCCGGGCGGGGCCCGCUGGGGCCCGUGACGCCCCGUCCCGACGGGCCGGAGCCCCAGCCGACACCUCCAAGUAGCCACGCUCAAGGGCACGACCUAGACCCGCGGGGCACGGAACUCAGCGAUACUUCUCCGUCAGCACCACAGCCAUGCCCGUCAGGAACUUAUCCCACGCCGCCUGCAUCUCCACCGUGAACUCGUCCUGCAGGUGGGAGGCCAGCACCACCUGGAAACACUGGAUCACCAGCUGCCGGAGAAGAGGCCGGUGACCUUUCUUAUGCAUUUCCUGGGAGUGAGCUACCAGUGGAGAGACAACCCCGCGCCGUGGACGGCGCAUGCGCAGGCCGCUCCCCGCCACCUCCAGGGACCCCGCCAGCGUCCUGUCCUCAGAUGCUCCCUAACAGCCAGGAUUCCUGUUCCUACCAACAACACAGAGGAAGAACACAGACUCCUGGGUCGCCACUCACCCUUGUGUAUCUCUUUGUUUAGCUGACUUCCCUGAAAUGCCACCAGUGUAUUGAUGCUUUUCUCUUCCUUCUUAGUCCCUCGGUCUAGCAAGAGUGUGCCCAGCACAGCUGGCCCCG